rnacentral:lncRNA from 1 species
GCGGCUCGGACGCCGUCCCCGUGCUGGAGGCGGCCGGCCCCGGCCUCGCGGCGGCAGCUCUGGGGCACUGCGCGGCACGGCCCGCUCCCUCGCCCUGCCGAGUGCCGGCCCUUGGAAAGCACGAGAAAGGUGGAAGGUUUUACUUUAUAUUCUUUGGUCUCUGAUCCUUUAAACAGAAAAAAAGUAUUGCUCCAAAUUCUUAGGAAGCGCAGCUUGGGUUAGCUACUUCCCCAAGCCGCAGAGCGCCUUAUUUCCGUUAUUUUGAAGUAUUGCUUAUAACUGCUUUAGAAUACCUGCGAAAACAAGCAAGACUCCCUAUACCACAGGGCGUUUCUAGAGGCCUGCUCACCUCCCCUUCCUGCUGCUCAGGCAAACAAAUGUUCGAGCUGCUCGCGCAUCUGGGACCAGUUCUCUGCAUUUCGUGAGAAAGGGUGAAGUGGGCUGGCCGCAGGCGGCUGCCCUUCCGCAGGCUCCUGUCGAGGGGGGUUGCCGUGCGGCCACGUGGGCGCCUGAGAUAAGCUUCGCUUUAUACGGUGGAGGAGAACUUUCACUGAUCGCUUGCCAGGAAAAUGCUCCGGGAACGAUGAGCCGGGAUAAAGCUUUUCAGCGCUGCGAGCCGCUCGCGGCGCCGGUGCUGCACACCCAAAGCGUCCUGCCUUAUUCCUCGCCCUUUUCUGGCGCCGGAACUUCGGAGACGCCCGGCUCCAGCCGCCGGAGAAGGGGGCAGAGCGACGCGGGGGCAGAACGGCGCGGUUCUGUGACCCGGGAGGGGAAGAGCUGUGCGCGUUUCCGCGGGCGCUUUGCUGCGGGCGGUCCCGGAGCAGCCUCAGCGGUGAGAAACCCGUCAGACCUUGCUGGUACAAAGGGAGACCUCCCCGACGGCCGCGAGCGGCGAAGCGGGGUCAGAAGCCGACGACGAGGCACUGAACGGAGCCGCGAAAACUGCGACAUCCAGCGCACGGCGCGG